UUACUGGAAUAGGUGGCCUUUUGCAAUACUGAGAUUCUUUGCAUAUUUUUAAGCAGUUCCUCCUCUUUCUGUACGACAAAACACUACCCUGAAAGAACGGUGAACAGAAACCAGACAUCCUGCGCAACUGUAAGACAGAUCAGCUUCAGCCAUGAUUUUCCUCCUGGUACUUUCAGGUCAGUCGUAAUAUAUGCUUUCCUAUUAGUUUAAACAUUGUGCAUUGUUACUCAACUACUCAUAAAGUUACUCUUCAACUGAUUCAUGUCUGGAACAAAAUAUAUGUGAACUGUGUGCCCUUGGGGCUGUUUUUAGCUUGGUUACUUUAACAUAUGUACUAUGUAUGUGUUAUAACAGGACUCUGCACCAUUCCCUUUACACUCAGUCG
ensembl:lncRNA